rnacentral:piRNA from 1 species
UCACGAUCUGGAUGCCUUUCAGUGUGUU